rnacentral:rRNA from 1 species
UCGUCUUCUCACUGGCUGCGAACAAUAGGGGGUGGAUAAAAGAGAAGGCCUACACUAUUGUGUCGAGCGUGCCGGAGAGGUGAUCAUACAAUUUUUCGUGAUCCCAAUUCAUGCGUCGAUCCACGGAUGGCGUUUGGAAU